UAACACCUGGAAACAAGAUGCUAAUACCGGAUAACAACAGAUGAUGCCUAUCAACUGUUUAAAAGAUGGUUCUGCUAUCACUCUUGGAUGGACCUGCGGUGCAUUAGCUAGUUGGUAGGGUAACGGCCUACCAAGGCGAUGAUGCAUAGCCGAGUUGAGAGACUGAUCGGCCACAUUGGGACUGAGACACGGCCCAAACUCCUACGGGAGGCAGCAGCG
rnacentral:rRNA from 1 species